GUCGUUACGGCAAAAGGUCCUGCUCGAGUGUAUGAAGAGGGAUGUGGACAGGUUAAGGGAGUUAGUGCCAUGGGUUAUGGUAGUAUGGUCGGAAAUGGUUCCGAGGUUGUACUGACGGCAUGCGCGGAAUCCCUCCACGGUGGCGAAAAUUACGGGUAAGGUUAACAAGGUGAUGGCAGCGUACGUGAGUCGGUCAGGGGGGGUUGUGAU